rnacentral:lncRNA from 1 species
GUAGUAACCAUGAUCGAUAAGUUGUUUGUACAACUUGACUCCCCCUUGGUGUUCAUCCUUGUGCAUUUGGUAAACCAAAUCUUUGGCUUCACCUAGUUCCAAACACCGUAGGGGCUUGCCAUUGAAUCCCCUUCUAAACAAUUCUCCAUUCUUCAAGAAGAAACGUUGUGACUUCCUCUUGAUUAUAAUUGCGUCCUUCUUUUCGGUCGAAAGAGUCCCGCUUUGCAAGAACUCCACAUAAGGGAUUCACCAAUCCACUAUAUCUUCAAUGAAGGCGCAUUCAUCCUCCCCAGGGUAUUCUUGGC